UUCACACCACAAAACUCUAGCCGCCUCCAUCUUUUUCGUCAACCCAUCUCCGAUGUGUCUGUGUUUUCGCCCAUCGGUUUCUUCUCUACUCGUCUUUCCAUCAUGCAGCAGCGCCGUCAAUUGAACAGAUUCUUCGUCGCGCAACCAAACACCAUGUCAAUCUACGCAUGUGUCGCGCCAACCACCAUUCGCAAACCACCACGAGUGUCACCUCAUCACAAGCCUCAAGCAGCGUUGCCGUGCUUCACGUUUCGUCAACCGUCACCAAUCAGUCGUGUCUUCGCGUAAGUCGUUAGUGGAGCCCAACCUGAGCUACACGCGACUCCUUCCAAGCUGCUCGUCCGUGUAUGCUGAGUCGUAGCGCUAGCAGACCCCUCACUCGAGCCGCAUGCAUUUGCCUUCCUCUCUAGCCAAGCCGUUCAGCUGCUAAGAUUAUUUUUUAGUCUUUUUCACCUAUUUUUUGGUAAGUUUGAUGGGAUUUUGGUUAAUGCCAAACAAAGAUUAAUUUUGGACCCUAAAUAAUUUAAUUUUGGAUUAAAUUGAACUGUUUUUCAUAAAGGACUGGUUAGAUCAAAUUGGGAGUUGGUGUUGUGGAAUUUUUCCUAAAUUAAGGUUAAAUUGGAUUCGACCUCAACUGUUAAUUAAGUUAUUGAACUUAGUAUAUUUUUACCCUUACUGUUUAAGAUUCCUCUUGAAAAGCUUGACCUUGCCGUCAGUAUUAUAUUUUUGGAUUAAGCUAAUCUCCAGGUAAAAGAUUCUCCUACUAGAUCCUCGUAUUAAAGUAAGAGUUUGCAUGUGAUAUUCAUAUUAUGCAUUGAGGUAACUAAAAUGAAUAACGUAUUGAUGUUGAUGUUGAUUGAUAUUUAUGAUUGGGUUAUGUUAUUGAUGAUGAUUGAUGAUGUUAAUGUUAAUGCAUGAAAUAUUAAUCUUAUGAAUAAGAAUAUUAUGAUUAAUAUUUAUGUCAUGCUUUUGAUGUUAUGUUAUGCUACAUGCUAUGGAUAUGGUGUUCAGUUAACUUUAUCUAUUAGAAUUAUUCCCACAUGGGUGUCCCUCGGAAUCACCACCUUUUUUUUAUUGUGUAGUCCAACGAGAUUACCAGUCCAGUAUGAGAUGAUAUGUAUAUGAGUGACUCGAUAGGGUCACUCAUAGCCCGAUUGUCAUAGUGUCUCUUUCGAGUUCACUAAAGACCAGUUUUGUCCUAGGUGUUCUUUGGAUUCACUGAAUACUAGAGAUGCUUCUACGGGAUCACAGUUUGCAUGUGUUCAGAAACGUGUCAGUUUAGGGGCAAAGAUAGAUAUAGAGAAAAGUUGGCGAAUGACAAGAAGUGACCGUGACGUGCCAUAGGGAAACGUUUUACUUCCGCCGUUAUGUUAUUAGUUUUGAUUUCAGUAUUUUUGCAUUUUCAUUAUUACUCUUUUAAAACUAGAUAGGGCCCAGGCUAGGAUUUUAUUUUUGAGAUUUAUUUCUCCAUACAUUAGUUUAUUUAUGAUUUUUUAUGAGUACUUGAGUUUUUUAUUAUGAAAAUUUGUUAUUU